UCACAGCUCUUCUACAGUUCUACUUAUCUCUCAGAAAAAUCCUAUAACCACAACUUCUCUCAAGUAUCUGAGUUUAUCAUCGAAGACACAUUUGGGAGAUGCAAAGGAGAAGAAGUGGGAAUAAUGAUAGCCGAGACGGGAAUGGUGAUGGUAGGUGUUUUGGGAUUAUGGGCACGCUUUGUCCGACAGCCUCUACUUGAAUUCACCGGAGAAGUGAUAGAUGUUAUCUCCCAAGUCGUGUUGAGGAUGUGUCGACCAGAUACAACUUCUUAUACUCCUCUUUCUUCUACUACUAAUUAACAACCGUACCCUCCUCCUUCCAUCACAACAAGACUCCUAAUCAACAAAAAGGAAAGCUAUUAACGUGCUCUCGCCCGUGUCCCUCUCUAGACAUGUGGUUUAUAUGGUUAAUUACCUGAAAGCUCAAACGCAAUAGAGUACUAGCUAGUGAGAGCAUCGUAAGAGGCUUGGUAGCUAGAGACCAAUUGUAGGUGAUGCUGCAUAUAUGCAAUAUAUUUGUAAAUUAUAUUGAUGAGCAAAGGUUACAAAUCGCAAACCAUAUGUGAUUAAAUAAUCAGCUACAUCAGAAGAAGAUGUGUUCUCCUAAGCUGAUCAUACAUAAUUAGCAGGUGUAAGCUCAAACUUUUGUAUUUUUUACUUUAAUUCAAGGCCUAUCAUGAGUAAAAUACAUUGAUUUGAGUAA